rnacentral:rRNA from 1 species
UACAGAGGGGGCAAGCGUUAUUCGGAAUUAUUGGGCGUAAAGGGCGCGUAGGCGGCUUGGCAAGUGGAUGGUGAAAUCCCUCGGCUUAACCGAGGAACUGCCGUCCAAACUGCUUUGCUUGAGACCGGGAGAGGUGAGUGGAAUUCCCAGUGUAGCGGUGAAAUGCGUAGAUAUUGGGAGGAACACCAGUGGCGAAGGCGGCUCACUGGACCGGUACUGACGCUGAUGCGCGAAAGCGUGGGAGCAAACGGG